UGAAGCAGCAUACAGUAUCCGGGUUGGUAAGGAAAUCAUUGAUCUGUUUAGAGGAAUGGUUUGUCCCUCUGCCCUCUACUUGAGGCGUGUGGAACAUACCUGGAUCUAGUUCUGCUGUGCUUGCGGAAUUUCUUACUGGCCAGUUGGACCACUGCAGACAACAACAUUCACAAUACUCAUUCGCAAUACCCUCUGUCUUGUAUAUGUUGCUAUUGUGACGGGAGCACUGUUGCCAGGAUACAUCAUUUACUGGGCAGGAUUAUAAGUGUGUGAUGGCGUUUCCGAAAGUGCGUCCCCGGGGCUCCGAGGAUGCUGCACAUGUGGUGAUAUUUGAUUAUUUAAAGAAAUGAACGUCAGAGUUUCAAGCAGUUGCUGAAGUUCCUGUGCUGUUGCUGGUCCGAUGAAUUAUAUAUUUGUGGAUAAUUAUUCAAGGGCUUGCAAAACACAUAGCAAUGUGUGGGCCUUUUGCUGAAUUUGGAUAAAAAUUUGCGGACUCCUUCAGAUUGCAAUGCUUAAUAUCACUUA